CCCAAAACAUUGCUCAGGUUUAAAGAAUAGCCCUUGAGAUCAACUUUGCCCAAAGCUGUAAAAUGGAUCAGUGCAUGCCAUUUUCUCAGGUGGAGUUUCCCUCUGUCACCCAGGCUGGAGUGCAGUGGUGUGAUGUUGGCUCACUGCAACCUCCACCCCCCGGGUUUCAAGCAAUUCUCCUGCCUCAGCCUCCUGAGUAGCUGGGAUUAUAGGCGCCCGCCACCAUGCCUGGCUAAUUUUUGUAUUUUUAGUAGAGAUGGGGUUUCACUAUGUUGGCCAGGCUGGUCUCGAACUGCUGAUCUCAGGUGAUCGCCCGCCUCAGCCUCCCAAAGUGCUAGGAUUAUAGGCGUGAGCCACCACGCCUAGCCUACCCUAAUAUACUUUCUAUGAGAGUUGUACUUUGAAUUUUUCCGCUUUACUAAAGUACUUCUGAUCUGACCACCAUACUUUUAGGGCUUGAAGCUUUGUUUCCAGAGCCAAAAAUAUGUGCCCAGUAAAAAUCCAAGCCCUGAGCCAUCAGGAAUUGACAGACGCCCUCAGAUUAAAAACAAACUCUAGAUGGAGCUUGCUGCUGUUGAAUCACUCUUCAUUCUUUGGCCUCCAAUUCUUUCUAUUACUAGAGCUCAGGCUUAUUUAUUUAAAGCUUGUCAUAUUUUAUCUAGCAUUUCAGGUGUUCCACACCAUGAGGGAUUUCUCUGUAUAUUUAAUCUGGCAAA
rnacentral:lncRNA from 1 species